rnacentral:rRNA from 1 species
AUUGAACGCUGGCGGCAGGCCUAACACAUGCAAGUCGCACGAGUGGCGGACGGGUGAGUAAUGUCUGGGAAACUGCCUGAUGGAGGGGGAUAACUACUGGAAACGGUAGCUAAUACCGCAUACCAUCGGAUGUGCCCAGAUGGGAUUAGCUAGUAGGUGGGGUAAAGGCCCACCGAGGCGACGAUCCCUAGCUGGUCUGAGAGGAUGACCAGCAACACUGGAACUGAGACACGGUCCAGACUCCAUCGGGCGGCAGCAGUGGGGAAUAUUGCACAAUGGGCGCAAGCCUGAGGCAGCCAUGCCGGGUGUAUGAAGAAGGCCUUCGGGUUGGAAAGUACUUUCAGCGGGGAGGAGUUACCAGCAGAAGAAGCACCGGCGAACACCGUGCCAGCAGCCGCUGUAAUAC